rnacentral:rRNA from 2 species
GCGUUGGCCCAAUUGAUUGAUGGUGCUUGCACCUGAUUGAUUUUGGUCGCCAACGAGUGGCGGACGGGUGAGUAACACGUAGGUAACCUGCCCAGAAGCGGGGGACAACAUUUGGAAACAGAUGCUAAUACCGCAUAACAGCGUUGUUCGCAUGAACAACGCUUAAAAGAUGGCUUCUCGCUAUCACUUCUGGAUGGACCUGCGGUGCAUUAGCUUGUUGGUGGGGUAACGGCCUACCAAGGCGAUGAUGCAUAGCCGAGUUGAGAGACUGAUCGGCCACAAUGGGACUGAGACACGGCCCAUACUCCUACGGGAGGCAGCAGUAGGGAAUCUUCCACAAUGGGCGCAAGCCUGAUGGAGCAACACCGCGUGAGUGAAGAAGGGUUUCGGCUCGUAAAGCUCUGUUGUUAAAGAAGAACACGUAUGAGAGUAACUGUUCAUACGUUGACGGUAUUUAACCAGAAAGUCACGGCUAACUACGUGCCAGCAGCCGCGGUAAUACGUAGGUGGCAAGCGUUAUCCGGAUUUAUUGGGCGUAAAGAGAGUGCAGGCGGUUUUCUAAGUCUGAUGUGAAAGCCUUCGGCUUAACCGGAGAAGUGCAUCGGAAACUGGAUAACUUGAGUGCAGAAGAGGGUAGUGGAACUCCAUGUGUAGCGGUGGAAUGCGUAGAUAUAUGGAAGAACACCAGUGGCGAAGGCGGCUACCUGGUCUGCAACUGACGCUGAGACUCGAAAGCAUGGGUAGCGAACAGGAUUAGAUACCCUGGUAGUCCAUGCCGUAAACGAUGAGUGCUAGGUGUUGGAGGGUUUCCGCCCUUCAGUGCCGGAGCUAACGCAUUAAGCACUCCGCCUGGGGAGUACGACCGCAAGGUUGAAACUCAAAGGAAUUGACGGGGGCCCGCACAAGCGGUGGAGCAUGUGGUUUAAUUCGAAGCUACGCGAAGAACCUUACCAGGUCUUGACAUCUUGCGCCAACCCUAGAGAUAGGGCGUUUCCUUCGGGAACGCAAUGACAGGUGGUGCAUGGUCGUCGUCAGCUCGUGUCGUGAGAUGUUGGGUUAAGUCCCGCAACGAGCGCAACCCUUGUUACUAGUUGCCAGCAUUAAGUUGGGCACUCUAGUGAGACUGCCGGUGACAAACCGGAGGAAGGUGGGGACGACGUCAGAUCAUCAUGCCCCUUAUGACCUGGGCUACACACGUGCUACAAUGGACGGUACAACGAGUCGCGAACUCGCGAGGGCAAGCAAAUCUCUUAAAACCGUUCUCAGUUCGGACUGCAGGCUGCAACUCGCCUGCACGAAGUCGGAAUCGCUAGUAAUCGCGGAUCAGCAUGCCGCGGUGAAUACGUUCCCGGGCCUUGUACACACCGCCCGUCACACCAUGAGAGUUUGUAACACCCAAAGUCGGUGG